CAGGAGGUACAGAACCUGGAGCUGAAAUCUUGAUGGGCCCCAACAGACAUGCAUGCCUAGCUGAUGAUUCUCCUCACCUCUCUCUUAACCUGAGGACUCCUGGGCCAUUUGGACUACCACAAGUGCAUCAUUAAUCUUACGACUGAGGCAAGGAAUUAUUAAAAUCCCUAACAAAGAAAGAAGUUGUCAAAGAAUAUCUUGUAUCAUUGGACCUUGGACUGUUGGACUCCCAGGUUUCAACAUUAUUCAGAUGCUUGCAGCAAAGUGAGUACAUCUUUUUCGCUCCACCCUGCAGCUGGCUUGGUUCUGACUGGAACCGUGGGCUGAGUCCAAAGGCUUGUUUUCGUUAGAGUCAUGAUGGCUAAUGCUGAGAACACAGCCCCAUGGUUUUACCUCAACAGCCACGUUUUUCUCAAGGAAUGUGAAGAAAGCUGUUUCCUGCUGCUUAAAGAAUGUGAUUACCUCAUUCAAAACUGACUGUCCAACCUGCCUCAGGCCUUCUAAGCCCGUCAGACAGACACAUUUCUCACCAUGACUUGGGUCUUCCUCAUUUGCUCAUGACCUGCAUUUUUCCCAAUCUGGUCUACAACAGACAUGGAACCCUUGGCUCUAUGAUUCUCAGCGUCUCUCUGCCAUCAGGCAUUUUGGACUUGACCCUGCUUUAGUCUCCCUGUCACUGACAUUGCAAUUAUUCCUAUCAAACGAUAGCUGGUCUCAUCCUAUGGUUCUCUGUCUUUUGGGGUGCAAUGAAUGGGAAAAUGUUUCCUGGUUCCAGGCUCAAUCCUAGUGGCUUUAAGAUGUUUUUGGCUACAAGUAACAGAAACUUGAACUCAAAUUGACCUACAUAAUACAAAGACAGUAUUGGCGCAGUAACGAAAAACUACAGUGAUAGAGGAAGCUUUGGUGACCCAGUGACAACACCAAAGAUACAGCUUCUCCUCCUCUUCUCUUCUAUGGUGCCUGCUUCACCCUAAGGCUCACUCUCUUCAUGUUUGCAAAAUGGCUGGAAGCAGCUUUAGGGACUGCUUGUUUCCUCAAUUAUGUCCAGCAGGAAGUGGGAAAAAAAAAUCUCUCUCCCAAUAGCUCUCUCAGAAGUGAAACAUCUUUUUUUCCAAAAGUCUCUGGAAAGAGUUUCUCUUGAUUCAUUGGUCUGAAUUGGGUUGUGUGUUCUAAACCAAGCGCUGUGGCCUGGCGAUGAAGUAUGUUGAUUGAAGAUCAGCUAAUCAGAACCUAGGACUAUGCUUAUGGAGUGAGGUCUCCUCCCAGAGCAUGUAGGCUGGUAGAAGAGGCAUGAUACCUGUGCUCUGUUUGACCUUCACCUUUGCUCCACUCUCUGCCCUAAGAAGCUAACUCUUCAGAAUGCAUCACUCCAGCUUUUUGAUUUCUGACUUAUAGCUGAAUUUGAUCUUGGGAACACCAACAGAAGAUCAGAGGGUGGAGAGAAAACUGGAUCAGGACAACUAUUUCCCCAGCUGGCUCCUUGCCUUGCUGUGGUUCUGACAGUGGCUGUGUUCCUCUAGAAGGGCGACUCCACUUGGGCCACCCUUCCAGCUCCAGCUCUUGCCAGGCUCUGGUUCACAACAGUGUUAUGGCGGGAGCAGGGAGGCACCUACAUCCAUUGGACCCAUCCUGACAGCUGGGAAGGAUGUGUCCAGCCACCCAGGGAUGUGCAUCUGGCACCCACCUCACAACAGCUGUUCUAACCACGUAAGAAGCACAAGGGUCACCGGUUACUCUCCAUGAGAACAAAAGGCCAAGGAUGCAGAGAUAAUUGCAUCAAAGGGAUUCAACUUCCUGGAUGACCUCAUUCCAAAGAUCUGCAGAGCCCAGAUAAGCAUCCCAGGGUUCUGGCAGAGGGCCCCUCCAGGGACAGGAAGGGGACAGGAAGCCGGCUUUCCGUGUCUGUACCGCCUUCCUUGGGAAGGAUAGGACACCUGUGGCCAUCAAGUCAUGAUGCCCCAUGCUGUCUCCCGCCAACUCCACAAGAAAGGCAAAUGAGUGUCACAUCGCCCCCAGAGUCAUGACUCUGCUGAUCCCACAUGGGCCCCAUAGAGGGCUUUUCCUUCUAGGUCUUCACCAUAGAUUUCUCAUAUUUUCAUUUAAACAGAUUUGUAUGUAAUUCUUGAAUGUUUCCUUUCUUUCAUAUUCUCAAAAAAUACAUUAAGACUAGUAAGAAUAGGUAAAAAAAAAUUGGUACAUCUCAGAAGAUAAUAUGUGAGACUAAUAGCUAUAGUUUGCAAUAAAGAAAAUUAAAUGAGGUUUCUAAGCACUUAUGUAUUUAUUCUCUAAAUGUUUUUGAGCCCUUUCUAUGCCAGACACAACUCCAAGUCCAGAGACGGAAAGAUAAAAUGUUCCUUAUGCUCGAAGAGCACAUAGAUUUGUUAGAAGUCAUAGAUACUUAAACAAAUGAUUAUAUAAUAAGUUCUACAAUGUAAUUUUAUCCUUGGGAAUUCUGCUAAUAUUACAAGGAAUAAUAAAUAGUCAAAAUAAGAGUCCUUUAUCAAAAUUUAUUUUUAUACUGCUCAGUUUUGCCCUAGAAUUUGUUAAUUUAUUCAAUAUUCUC
rnacentral:lncRNA from 1 species